UACGUAGGGUGCAAGCGUUAAUCGGAAUUACUGGGCGUAAAGCGUGCGCAGGCGGUUUUGUAAGUCUGUCGUGAAAUCCCCGGGCUUAACCUGGGAACUGCAUUUGUGACUGGCGGGCUAGAGUAUGGCAGAGGGGGGGUAGAAUUCCACGUGUAGCAGUGAAAUGCGUAGAGAUGUGGAGGAAUACCGAUGGCGAAGGCAGCCCCCUGGGUCAAUACUGACGCUCAUGCACGAAAGCGUGGGGAGCAAACAGG
rnacentral:rRNA from 1 species